UAGGGAAUCUUGCACAAUGGGCGCAAGCCUGAUGCAGCGACGCCGCGUGAGGGAUGAAGGCCCUCGGGUCGUAAACCUCUUUCGACAGGGAAGAAGCCACGGGACACCGUGGUGACGGUACCUGUAGAAGAAGCCCCGGCUAACUACGUGCCAGCAGCCGCGGUAAAACGUAGGGGGCAAGCGUUGCCCGGAUUCACUGGGCGUAAAGCGGGUGUAGGCGGUCCUCUAAGUCAGAUGUGAAAUCCUACGGCUCAACCGUGGAACUGCAUCUGAUACUGGAGGACUUGAGGACGGUAGAGGUCGGUGGAAUCCCCGGUGUACCGGUGAAAUGGACAGAUAUCGGGGGGAACACCAGUGGCGAAGGCGGCCGACUGGGCCGAUCCUGACGCUGAGACCCGAAAGCCAGGGUAGCGAACCGGAUUAGAUACCCGCGUAGUCC
rnacentral:rRNA from 1 species